GCCGGCGCCCGACGUGCGGAAGAGGCUCCUGGAGCUGCUCGUCCUCCUCACGGAGUGCUUCCCCCGCUCCGUGCUCAUGACCGUGCUCUUCAUCUGCCCGUCCCAAGAAAGGUACCGGCCCCCGAGCCUCCAGGGCGCCCCAAACCGCAGCCCCCGGGGCUCCCCCGAUAACCCCGCGGGGCCCCCGCCGAUAACGCCCUCUCCGUGCCCGCAGCGCCUCGAUGGACAUGUGGGAGGUGAUGUUUGCCGUGCCCGCCAUGGCGAAGCGGCUCCUGCACGAGCUCCACCUGCUGCUGCACGACAGGAACAUCCGCGAGUUCCUCGGGGUGGCCGAGGACCUCAGCCUCGUCCGCCUCAGCCUCCUCUACGCCCAGCGCCCCGAAGACCCCGUCCCCAAGGAGCUGCGGGACGUGGAGUGCCUGCAGCGCUGCCUCAGGACCGCCAACUUCCACCUGCUCUGGCUGGCGCUCAAAGGCCUGGCGGCGCUGAUGGAGAGGCCGCAGCUGGUGAGCCUCCGCCCUCUUCCCCUCCCCGCUCCCGGCCUCGGCUGGCGGCGCGGCGGCCUCCUCACGCCCCGGUGUUUUCGGCGCAGGCCAAGGCAGGGCAGUGCCUGCUGCCGGACGUGCUGGAGACCCUGCAGUUCGGCAAGCCCCACAUCACGGCGGCGGCCCUGGCGGUCUGCGGCAACAUCCUCGGCAUCGUGGAGAAGAAGGCGGCCAGCCUCACCGCCCUCGAGCUGGUCGACGUGGUCAAGCCUCUCCUGGACAACGAGGCCGCCGCGGUGCGGGAGAGCUCCAUGAAGCUCUUCAAGGCGGCCAUGGAGCGCGUGCUGUGGAGGCACAAGACGCAGAUGUGGAAGAAGGUGCGCAAGAUCCUCGUCCCGCUCUACCUGCGCAUGAGCGACGAGACCCACAGCGUGGCCAAGGCCUCCCAAGAAGCCCUCAUGGCGGCGGCGGAGCUCUUGUGGUGGGAUGAGCUGAAGGACGUGGCCCACAUGGAGCAGACCUGGAGGAUCAGAGCGUGCCUGGUGAGGGCGGCCUCCGCGGCGAGGCUGGCGGGGGGCUCUCGGGGGCUCCCCGAGGUGGGGGGGAAGAAACGGGGCCGGGGAGGCUCACCGAGCCUCGCGGCCUCUCCAGCUGCAGCAGGAUCGAGACCGGGUAGAGAAGCGCCUACAGCAGAGCCGGGCGUACCUGGAGGACCCUCAGGCAUCCGUGCGCGAGGAGACCGUGAGGUUCAUCGGUGAGGCCACCUCCCUGCCCCAGCGGCCUCCGCAAGAGGCCCCGCGGCCUCCCCUCGCCCUGCCCGGGGCGGAGGCUGACGGGCGGCUUUGCUCCUAGGGCUCGCCGCGGAGCUCCUCCAGGACCAGAGCGAAGAGAAGCUGCGCGAAAUCAUCGACAGUGAGUGAGGGGAGCACUGGAGGCCGGGCGGGGGAGGACUGGAGGCCGGGCCUCCGCCCCGGGGGAGGCGCGGUGGAGGCUGGGGGGGGGAACGAAUCGGGGGGGCCGCGGGGCGCUCGGAGCGGCUGCUCCCCGCGUUCCUCCCGGCUGGGGGGCUCCCGGAGGGGUCUCCGCGGCCCGAGCGGAGGCUCCAGCCUCUCUCCGUCCUCCCGCAGUCCUGCAGCCCAUGAUGCACGACGCGGCGCCCUCGGUGCGCGCGGAGACCUCCCGCACCAUCCAGGCCCUGCUGCAGCAUCGCAAGUGGCUCCGGCGGCUGCCGGUGCCGUGGAACCCGCUGGCGGCGCUCUGCUGCUGGCCUCGAAGGCGCCGCCAGAGGCCGAAGACCGAGCCCCAGCCCGAGGAGAGCCCAGAAGGUUCCGGCUCUGAAGGGACGUCCAAGGACCCAUCCCCCUGCCAGAGCAAGGACGACUAGCUCACCUCACGGCCGCAGGGGGUUCGGAUGCCUGCAGAGGAGCCUCCGCACCCCCCCCGGGCAGCCUGCUCCACGUUUUGCCGCCCUCACCACAAAUAAAUUUCGUCCCCAUGUUUGUCCGGUGCCUCCU
ensembl:lncRNA